GGAAGGUAGCCGGAUACGGCUUGCCGGGCCGCACUGCUAACGCGGUUCUCCCCAGCGGAGAUGAGGGUUCGACUCCCUUGCCUUCCG
rnacentral:tRNA from 1 species